GUGUCAGCCGCCGCGGUAAUACGAAGGACCCGAGCGUUAUCCGGAUUUACUGGGUUUAAAGGGUGCGUAGGUGGACCUGUAAGUCAGUGGUGAAAGCCCGAAGCUCAACUUCGGAACUGCCAUUGAUACUGCUUGUCUUGAGUAUAGUUGAGGUAGGCGGAAUAUGUCAUGUAGUGGUGAAAUACUUAGAUAUGACAUAGAACACCGAUUGCGAAGGCAGCUUGCUAAGCUAUAACUGACACUGAUGCACGAAAGCGUGGGGAGCAAACAGGAUUAGAUACCCUCGUAGUCC
rnacentral:rRNA from 1 species